rnacentral:rRNA from 1 species
ACGGGAGGCAGCAGUGGGGAAUAUUGCACAAUGGGGGAAACCCUGAUGCAGCGACGCCGCGUGAUUGAAGAAGUAUUUCGGUAUGUAAAGAUCUAUCAGCAAGGAAGAAAAUGACGGUACUUGACUAAGAAGCCCCGGCUAACUACGUGCCAGCAGCCGCGGUAAUACGUAGGGGGCAAGCGUUAUCCGGAUUUACUGGGUGUAAAGAGCGUGUAGGCGGUUGGUUAAGUCAGGUGUGAAAAUCUUCAGCUCAACUGAGGAACUGCGCCUGAAACUGAUUGACUGGAGUCUUGGAGGGGCAACUAGAAUUCCUGGUGUAACGGUGAAAUGUGUAGAUAUCAGGAGGAAUACCUGUGGCGAAGGCGGGUUGCUGGACAAUGACUGACGCUGAGACGCGAAAGCGUGGGUAGCAAACAGGAUUAGAUACCCUGGUA